GGAUCAGCAGAGGGCUGUUGCUGCUGCUGUUGCUGCUGCAUCACAGCUGGAGUCUUCCCAAGCCUAUCACCAUUGCAGGACUGGCCUGGGCAUCCAUCUGAGAUAAUUCCAAAGGUCUGAGUCACUGUCAGCUUGGGUCUCUCUCGUCUCUACAUCAUACUGCCAUCUCAAGGCUGUGUUUACACAGCAGGCUUAAAUAAGUACAUCGAGACUGCAAGGCUGUAACCCAUUGCCAUCACCAAACUUGAUAUCUUCAUUUUUAGAUCUCUCUGAAGUAUGAGAGGAAUGUCUGAACCUGAAUGAUCAUGUGCUUGUGGGCAAGCACAACCCGGCAGAGGCUGAGCACAGAUCAAAGGCCUACCUCCAGUCAGGAAAGGAAUCCUCGUGCACAGACACCAUAACCCCGUCCUGCUGUCAGUGGGCCAGAGGCCCCACCCCCGACACCCUGCAGCAGGCCCUGAUGCCCAUGGUAACCUAACGUAGCAGGCCCUGAUGCCCGUGGUAACCUAACGUAGCAGGCCCUGAUGCCCAUGGUAACCUAACGU